GAUGAACGCUAGCUACAGGCUUAACACAUGCAAGUCGAGGGGAAACGAUAUUGGAAGCUUGCUUCCGAUAGGCGUCGACCGGCGCACGGGUGAGUAACGCGUAUCCAACCUGCCCAUCACUUGGGGAUAACCUUGCGAAAGUAAGACUAAUACCCAAUGACGUCUCUAGAAGACAUCUGAAAGAGAUUAAAGAUUUAUCGGUGAUGGAUGGGGAUGCGUCUGAUUAGCUUGUUGGCGGGGUAACGGCCCACCAAGGCGACGAUCAGUAGGGGUUCUGAGAGGAAGGUCCCCACAUUGGAACUGAGACACGGUCCAAACUCCUACGGGAGGCAGCAGUGAGGAAUAUUGGUCAAUGGACGAGAGUCUGAACCAGCCAAGUAGCGUGCAGGAAGACGGCCCUAUGGGUUGUAAACUGCUUUUAUAAGGGAAUAAAGUGAGUCUCGUGAGACUUUUUGCAUGUACCUUAUGAAUAAGGACCGGCUAAUUCCGUGCCAGCAGCCG
rnacentral:rRNA from 1 species